AUGAGGGGUGCCAGGCUGAUGGGGGUGCUACUCACCCUGGCUGGCCUGCUGCAGCAGACCCUGUCCCUGAGAAUAGCAGCCUUCAACAUCCAGACUUUCGGGGAGACCAAGAUGUCCAAUGCUACCCUCUCCAACUACAUUGUACAGAUCCUGAGUCGCUAUGAUAUCGCCCUCAUCCAGGAGGUCAGAGACAACCACCUGACGGCCGUAGGGAGGCUGCUGGACAAACUCAACCAGGAUGACCCAAACACCUAUCACUUUGUGGUCAGUGAGCCGCUGGGACGCAACAGCUAUAAGGAGCGCUACCUCUUCCUGUUCAGACCCGACCAGGUUUCCGUGCUGGACAGCUACCAGUACGAUGAUGGCUGUGAGCCCUGUGGGAAUGACAGCUUCAGCCGAGAGCCAGCUGUGGUCAAGUUCUCCUCCCCCUUCACACAGAUCAAGGAGUUUGCCAUUGUUCCCCUGCAUGCAGCCCCAUCGGAUGCGGUGGCUGAGAUCGACUCUCUCUAUGAUGUCUACCUGGAUGUCUGGCAGAAGUGGGACUUGGAGGACAUCAUGUUGAUGGGUGAUUUCAAUGCUGGCUGCAGCUACGUGACCCCCUCGCAGUGGUCAUCCAUCCGCCUGCGCAGGAGCCCCCCCUUCCAGUGGCUGAUUCCUGACACUGCCGACAGCACCGUUACAUCCACGCACUGUGCCUACGACAGGAUCGUGGUUGCAGGACCUCUGCUCCAAGAUGCUGUGGUUCCCAACUCAGCUGCUCCCUUUGACUUCCAAGCUGCAUACGGAUUGAGUGACCAGAUGGCCCUAGCCAUCAGCGACCAUUACCCGGUGGAGGUGAUGCUGAAGAGAGCCUGACGUGAGUGGGGCCUGGCCAGCGACCUCCGCUCUGCAGCCUGUCGCCAAGAACUGAGACGACACAGCCAAAGGCUAGGGACAGAGUUUAGGAAACCAGUGCCUGGUCCUGAGUGCUCCUGCCCCUCCCCACCACCGUGGCAGCUGGAAUUAGAGGAAGCUCAGAGCUGGAUCAGUGGGUUCCUAGCUCAUUAAAGCCUACCCAGAACCCCCACUGAGAACCCAAGCUGGACCGUACGCCCUUGUGUCCUCAGCCACUGCAGCUCCUCUAGGCCUGGACGAGGAUGGCCCUGGGGAGGCCAACUGGGGACACCUCCUCUCUGCUUCUGCCUGCCCACCAGGCCCUCAGCAGCUCACCUUCCACUUUCUUCAUUCCAACUGCUCUACAAAGUGGAGGCAAAGCCAAGCUUGCCCGCCCGACCUCAGUAACUCCCCGGGCACAUGUGGCUACGUGCUCACGAUCGCACACAUGCAGGAGCAGCAGCAACCAGAGCCGGCAGGCUGGCCAGCUGUGCAGUCACCAAGGGCCAUGGUGGUUGGGUGGUGGCCCGUCUUUGGGAGGCCUCACCUUCACGUUGGUGACACGGGACCCUAGCGCGUUUCUCAUCCAGGCCAUCAGGUCCUCUGUCUCCUUCUCUGACAGACGGUCGCCAGCUACAGGAGAGCAGAAGGGUGAGCUUGGAGACCGUCUCCACAACUCCCUCCCCAUAGGCUCCCAUCGGCAGGCUCCCUCCACCCUGCCAGCCACUGGCACAACGACAGAAGCUACCAGAACACUCUUCAUCUAAAAUUAAGCAGAUAAAUUUGGACCCCAGAAAGGAUACUUUUGAUUGCCUGAGGCCCAUAUAAUUUUGUUAGGGCUUUAAAAUGUCUGAUUCUCUUAAGCUUUAUCAAUCUUAGGAAGGCAAGCUGUGAAAAGAAAACCCCAUAUAGACCCACUGUUGCAGAACGAAGAGGCCGUGUAGCAAACAGUGCCAGCUCCCUGGGCCUGCCUGGCCUCAUCUGCACCCCAGGCCACCAUCCACACCUGUGCCCAGAGAGAAGGGAAGCAAGCCGACCUGGGGAGCCGUCCUCAAACUUCUCCUCCUUGUAGUGGUCAACAACGAUGUCCGUUUCCACAGACAUCAGCUUCUUCUUGUCAAACUCACGAAGGUGGAGCAAGGUCAGCUCAUCAAACUGCUCGUAGCAGAAGAGAACCUGUGAGGACCCGAAAUGGCUUCCAUCAGGCCCGGGGAACCCUCUGCCCGUGACAGGAGAGGGACACGGAGCAGGGGCUGGGGCUGCGGGCUGGGCCCAGCAUCUGAGGGCCAUGCAGGGGGUGCUGGGGUUCCUGGGCCUUGUGGACGCAGUGGUUUACAGACGGCUCUCAGGGAGGCUCUGGCUCUAUCUUAGAAGCAGUGAUGCUAUUUAUAGAGAAAUCCCUGUGUCACCUCCUAGAAAGACCCAAACUAGUAGGCAGGCUUCAGCCUGGCCUCUGUGACCCUGGAUGCUGACUCUCACUGCUCCGCUCUCCCGAAUCGUGGGCACAUUCAGCCAUUCCCCAGUGAGCAUGGGGACCCUCCUUCAGUGGUCAGACCCCCUCGCCCUCUGACCUGGCCCCAAGGGAAGGACAAGUGCAGGGAGGCCCGGUAGGGGCCAAGCCUGCCACUUGGCUCACCCACCUCUGUGUUUUUCCACUUCAUGGCCUCAUAGUAGGGCGAGUGCUCCGCCAGGUGCCGGUUGGGGGCGCACAGGUAGUAGAUACUGCGGGUGCCGGCCUGCAUGCGGCUGGCGUAGUCUGGGAGGCUGGUCAGCUGCCCAGCAGGCAGUGCCGACGACUCGUACCGCAGCAGCUUUGCAAUAUCCUCCUGUAGACAGACAGAGGCCAGGUCAUUGCUCAUUCCAGGUCCUGGCUCUGAAAGCCUCCCGACAGCGGGGCACAGACUUCGGGAGCCUUCAGCUAAGGGAGGAAAGGCUCUGGCUGGCCUCACACCCGCCUGGUGACCGUGUCCUGCAGCCAAGGCAGCUCCUUUGGGAGCCUGGUCCAGGGAUGGCGCCCUGGGCUGGCUCGGGCCCUGGGGAGCUCUGAGGGACUCCAGUGCUGUCCAUUGGGCCCCAUGUCAGAAGUUCAGGGGACCUCGGAAAGCACGUUCCACCACAGGUGGCCCAGGGCCUUGCUGAGAGGGCCUUUCCAGGUGAGCUGCAAAAACGGUCCCAGGAGUGGCUAGGCCCUGUCCGUGGCAGAGCCCACUCUGGACCCAGCAUCCUCCCUCUGUCUCGAGUCACAGACCCUGGCUCUCGCCAAGCAGGGGACACGGGUGUGAAGUCCACACUUCCCAGCCUUCCUCACAGCCAGGGGACGAGUCCUGGCCCAGGGGGUACAAGCCUAAGUGGGGUGUGUGACUCAGAGAACAGGCCCUGAAAGGAGGGGCUUGUCCAUCUGCUCCUGUCGGCUGAGAUGCUGGUGGCAUCUAGACUCCAUGAGGGAGUCGCCUAUAAGGACAGAAGCAGCAACAGGCUGGGGUCCAGCUCCCUGACGCACCAGCCUGGACAUGACCUGACAGUAAACUGCCUCGUCUAUGCCACCGACUCAUCUCCAACAACCCAUGGUGCCCAGAGGGGAGGUCCAGAUGAGAGAGUGAUGUGGUGGGGAUGAAAGGGGGACGAACAGGCAAAACCAGGGAUCUGGGAGCCCACCCGGCGAGCCAGGCUCUAGGUUCAUAGGUUAAGCUCAUGCUCUUGUGCAUGUUACGGAUCCUCAUUAACUGAGUAAGGGGCCUUCCCUGGUGAUGCAGUGUUUAAGAAUCUGCCUGCCAAUGCAGGGGACACAGGUUCGAGCCCUGGUCCGGGAACAUCCCACGUGCCGCAGAGCAACUAAGCCCGUGCACCACAACUACUGAGCCUACUUUCUACAGCCCGCGUGCCACAACUACUAAAGCCCGUGUGCCUAGAGCCUGUGACCUGCAACGAGGAGCCACCACGAGAAGCCGGUCCACCACAACGAAGAGUAGCUCCCGCUCGCCACAACUAGAGAAAAGUCCGCGUGCAGCAACGAGGACCCAAAUCAGCCAAAAAAUAAAUAACUUUAUUUAUUUAUUUAUUUAAAAAAACCCUGAGUCAGUCAGUGUUUAUAAAGCACUCAGAAAAGCCUCUGGCACCACCUGUGUCCCGCUACCUACAAACACAGAGAGGAAUGAGUGGAGAGUCCGAGCAGGCAGCACUUAGAGCCACUGGAGUCCUUGUGCCAACAACCGGGGUUAGGAGGACCCAGGGUGAUGAGGGCCUGGGGGGAGCAGGCUGGUAGCCGCAGUGCCCAGGCCCCAUCCCACCCUCCCUCAUGGCCUGCAGAACAAACCCUGGGACCCCAGACGGUUGGUCACCCUCCUUCCCUGCUGCUGUUCUGGAGCAAAAGACGAAACGCCAGCGCUAAGAGUGACAAAAGACAUGUGUCUUUUGGGAGUGAUGGAAAUGUUCCAGAACCAGAUGGUGGUGGACGUACAACCUGUGAAGGUACUAAAUGAACUGUUCACUUUAAGAGAGUGAAUUUCAUUGUAUGGGAACUGUAUCACAACUUAAAAGUGGCCAAUAAAUGUUUAUGGAACAA